AAGUCCUACGGGGGCAGCAGUGGGGGAUAUUGCACAAUGGGGGAAACCCUGAUGCAGCGACGCCGCGUGGGUGAAGAAGCGCCUCGGCGCGUAAAGCCCUGUCAGCAGGGAAGAAAAUGACGGUACCUGAAGAAGAAGCCCCGGCUAACUACGUGCCAGCAGCCGCGGUAAGACGUAGGGGCAAGCGUUAUCCGGAUUUACUGGGUGUAAAGGGGGCGCAGAGGGCGAUGCAAGCCAGGAGUGAAAGCCCGGGGCCCAACCCCGGGACUGCUCUUGGAACUGCGUGGCUAGAGUGAAGGAGGGGG
rnacentral:rRNA from 1 species